AGUCCAUGGUUUGGGCACUUCCUAAGAAUUGACUUGAAACAAUCCCAUGCUUCAUACAAGGAUUCACCUUCAUAUUGCUUGAAAUUGGAGAUUUAUCGCCUAAGCU
rfam:Gossypium hirsutum cultivar TM-1 chromosome 11, whole genome shotgun sequence